UACGUAGGGGGCAAGCGUUAUCCGGAUUUACUGGGUGUAAAGGGAGCGUAGGUGGUUCGGUAAGUCAGAUGUGAAAGCCCGGGGCUCAACCCCGGGACUGCAUUUGAAACUAUCGAACUAGAGUGUAGGAGAGGUAAGUGGAAUUCCUAGUGUAGCGGUGAAAUGCGUAGAUAUUAGGAGGAACACCAGUGGCGAAGGCGGCUUACUGGACUAUAACUGACACUGAGGCUCGAAAGCGUGGGGAGCAAACAGG
rnacentral:rRNA from 1 species